rnacentral:rRNA from 1 species
GAUGAACGCUGGCGGCGUGCCUAAUACAUGCAAGUCGAGCGAACAGACGAGGAGCUUGCUCCUCUGACGUUAGCGGCGGACGGGUGAGUAACACGUGGAUAACCUACCUAUAAGACUGGGAUAACUUCGGGAAACCGGAGCUAAUACCGGAUAAUAUAUUGAACCGCAUGGUUCAAUAGUGAAAGACGGUUUUGCUGUCACUUAUAGAUGGAUCCGCGCCGCAUUAGCUAGUUGGUAAGGUAACGGCUUACCAAGGCAACGAUGCGUAGCCGACCUGAGAGGGUGAUCGGCCAAACGGGAACUGAGACACGGGCCAGAAUCCUAAGGGAGGCAGCAGUAGGGAAUCUUCCGCAAUGGGCGAAAGCCUGAAGGAGCAAAGCCGCGUGAGGGAUGAAGGUCUUCGGAUCGUAAAACUCUGUUAUUAGGGAAGAACAAAUGUGUAAGUAACUAUGCACGUCUUGACGGUACCUAAUCAGAAAGCCACGGCUAACUACGUG